rnacentral:misc_RNA from 1 species
AGGAGAUCAAAUCUCAAGAUCUACCAAGUCUUCACCAUCCAUCAAACAAAGAAGGAGCUAAUCGAAAGAAAGUAACAUAUUCUGAAAUAACAUUUUGAAGAAAAAAAUGGGUCUGGCUUGAAGAAACAACCAGAGAAUGAGACCACAAAGAAAAGGCCAACAUAUAGUCUUAAGAGAAGUAAUGAGAAAUGAGAAAGACUGGCUGGUAAAACAAGAAUGGAUUAGGUGGCAAGAACCU